rnacentral:rRNA from 1 species
UACGUAGGGUGCAAGCGUUAAUCGGAAUUACUGGGCGUAAAGCGUGCGCAGGCGGUGAUGUAAGACAGACGUGAAAUCCCCGGGCUCAACCUGGGAACUGCAUUUGUGACUGCAUCGCUGGAGUGCGGCAGAGGGGGAUGGAAUUCCGCGUGUAGCAGUGAAAUGCGUAGAUAUGCGGAGGAACACCGAUGGCGAAGGCAAUCCCCUGGGCCUGCACUGACGCUCAUGCACGAAAGCGUGGGUAGCAAACAGG